AACGAACGCUGGCGGCAUGCCUAACACAUGCAAGUCGAACGAAGGCUUCGGCCUUAGUGGCGCACGGGUGCGUAACGCGUGGGAAUCUGCCCCCCGGUUCGGAAUAACAGUUAGAAAUGACCGCUAAUACCGGAUGAUGACCUCGGUCCAAAGAUUUAUCGCCGAGGGAUGGGCCCGCGUAAGGUUAGGUAGUUGGUGGGGUAAAGGCCUACCAAGCCGACGAUCUUUAGCUGGUCUGAGAGGAUGAUCAGCCACACGUGGGACUGAGACACGGCCCAGACUCCUACGGGAGGCAGCAGUUGGGAAUAUUGUACAAUGGGCGAAAGCCUGAUCCAGCAAUGCCGCGUGAGUGAUGAAGGCCUUAGGGUUGUAAAGCUCUUUUACCAGGGAUGAUAAUGACAGUACCUGGAGAAUAAGCUCCGGCUAACUCCGUGCCAGCCGCCGCCGUAA
rnacentral:rRNA from 1 species